rnacentral:rRNA from 1 species
CCUACGCGUGGCUGCAGUGGGGAAUAUUGCACAAUGGGGGAAACCCUGAUGCAGCGACGCCGCGUGAGUGAAGAAGUAUUUCGGUACGUAAAGCUCUAUCAGCAGGGAAGAAAAUGACGGUACCUGACUAAGAAGCCCCGGCUAACUACGUGCCAGCAGCCGCGGGAAUACGUAGGGGGCAAGCGUUAUCCGGAUUUACUGGGUGUAAAGGGAGCGUAGGCGGGGAUGCAAGUCUGAAGUGAAAGGCGGGGGCCCAACCUCCGGACUGCUUUGGAAACUGUAUGGCUGGAGUGCAGGAGAGGGAAGUGGAAUUCCUAGUGGAGCGGUGAAAUGCGUAGAUAUUAGGAGGAACACCAGUGGCGAAGGCGGCUUACUGGACUGUAACUGACGUUGAGGCUCGAAAGCGUGGGGAGCAAACAGGAUUAGAUACCCUGGUAGUC